CCUACGGGCGGCAGCAGUGAGGAAUAUUGGGCAAUGGCCGAGAGGCUGAACGAGCAAAGCCGCGUGAGGGAAGAAUGUCCUCUGGAUUGUAAACUUCUUUUGUCAGGGAGCAAAGGCACCUACGUGGGGGUGUUGGAGUGUACCUGAACAAAAAGCAUCGGAUAACCCGGUGCCAGCAGCAGCGGUAAUACGGAGGAAGCGAGCGUUAUCCGGAGUUAUUGGGUGUAAAGGGUGCGUAGUUGGCUUAGCAAGUCAGCGGUAAAAUCGUGGAGCUCAACUCCAUCCAGCAGAUGAAACUGAAGAUCUAGAGUAUGACAGAGGUAAGCGGAAUGAGAGGUGUAGCGGUGAAAUGCAUAGAUAUAACGCAGAACUCCGAUGGCGAAGGCAGCAUACCGGCGCCAGACUGACGCUGAAGCACGAAAGCGUGGGUAGCAAACAGGAUUAGAUACCCGUGUAGUC
rnacentral:rRNA from 1 species